GAUGAACGCUGGCGGCGUGCCUAAUACAUGCAAGUCGAGCGAACGGACGAGAAGCUUGCUUCUCUGAUGUUAGCGGCGGACGGGUGAGUAACACGUGGAUAACCUACCUAUAAGACUGGGAUAACUUCGGGAAACCGGAGCUAAUACCGGAUGAUAUUUUGAACCGCAUGGUUCAAAAGUGAAAGACGGUCUUGCUGUCACUUAUAGAUGGAUCCGCGCUGCAUUAGCUAGUUGGUAAGGUAACGGCUUACCAAGGCAACGAUGCAUAGCCGACCUGAGAGGGUGAUCGGCCACACUGGAACUGAGACACGGUCCAGACUCCUACGGGAGGCAGCAGUAGGGAAUCUUCCGCAAUGGGCGAAAGCCUGACGGAGCAACGCCGCGUGAGUGAUGAAGGUAUUCGGAUCGUAAAACUCUGUUAUUAGGGAAGAACAUAUGUGUAAGUAACUGUGCACAUCUUGACGGUACCUAAUCAGAAAGCCACGGCUAACUACGUG
rnacentral:rRNA from 1 species